GAUGAAGAACGCAGCGAAGUGCGAUAAGUAGUGUGAAUUGCAGAAUUCCGUGGAUCAUCGAAUUUUUGAACGCAAAUUGCACUCUCUGGUAUUCCGGAGAGUAUGCCUGUUUGAGGGUCAGUAAAAUAAAAAAUCGAUUUGUUACCUUGUCGUGACAUUUUCGGAAUUGGGCCAUCUUAAAUUUUUAGGUUUAAGAGGCUUAAAAUUGACCACUUUUUGGUAUGAUUUAAGCGUUGCUAAAAUUACGUUUAAUGAGUAUCGAUGUUUAUUAGGCAUGACCAUGAUCAUGGUUUCGUGCCCAUAAUUUUUAUCAUGAAAUGACCUCAAAUCAGGUAGGAUUACCCGCUGAACUUAAGCAUAUCAAUAAGCGGAGGA
rnacentral:misc_RNA from 1 species